rnacentral:rRNA from 1 species
UGAGUGCGAGCGGCUACGGCCGCGAAGUGGGUGAUGUCAAGCUUCCAAGAAAAGCCCUAUACCCGUUAAGGCAUGAUGGCCUGUACCCGAAACCGACACAGGUGGGGUGGUAGAGAAUACCGAGGGGCGCGAGGUAACUCUCUCUAAGGAACUCGGCAAAAUGGCCCCGUAACUUCGGGAGAAGGGGUGCCACCGCAAGGUGGUCGCAGUGAAGAGGCCCAGGCGACUGUUUACCAAAAACACAGGUCUCCGCUAAGUCGCAAGACGAUGUAUGGGGGCUGACGCCUGCCCAGUGCCGGAAGGUUAAGGAAGCUGGUCAGCGCAAGCGAAGCUGGCGACUGAAGCCCCGGUGAACGGCGGCCGUAACUAUAACGGUCCUAAGGUAGCGAAAUUCCUUGUCGGGUAAGUUCCGACCCGCACGAAAGGCGUAACGAUCUGGGCGCUGUCUCGGAGAGAGGCUCGGCGAAAUAGAAUUGUCUGUGAAGAUGCGGACUACGUGCACCCGGACAGAAAGACCCUAUGAAGCUUUACUGUAGCUUGGUAUUGUGCCCGGGCUCUGAAUGCGCAGGAUAGGUGGGAGGCUUUGAUCCAUGGCUUGCGGGUCAUGGUGAGCCAACGGUGAGAUACCACUCUUUCAGAGCUAGGGUUCUAACGGUCACCCGUCAUCCGGGGACCGGACAGUAUCAGGUGGGCAGUUUGACUGGGGCGGUCGCCUCCUAAAAGGUAACGGAGGCGCGCAAAGGUUUGCUCAGGCUGGUUGGAAAUCAGCCGACGAGUGCAAAAGCAGAAGCAAGCUUGACUGUGAGACCUACAAGUCGAACAGGGACGAAAGUCGGCUUUAGUGAUCCGACGGUUCUGAGUGGAAGGGCCGUCGCUCAACGGAUAAAAGUUACUCUAGGAUAACAGGCUGAUCUCCCCCAAGAGUUCACAUCGACGGGGAGGUUUGGCACCUCGAUGUCGGCUCAUCGCAACCUGGGGCUGAAGUCGGUCCCAAGGGUUGGGCUGUUCGCCCAUUAAAGCGGUACGCGAGCUGGGUUCAGAACGUCGUGAGACAGUUCGGUCCAUAUCCGGUGCACGCGCAGGAACAUUGAGAGGAUUUCUCCCUAGUACGAGAGGACCGGGAGGAACGCACCUCUGGUGUGCCAGUUAUCGUGCCAACGGUAAACGCUGGGUAGCCGUGUGCGGAGUGGAUAACCGCUGAAAGCAUCUAAGUGGGAAGCCCACCUCAAGAUGAGUGUUCCCAUGGCAUAAGCCAGUAAGGUCACGGGAAGAACACCCGUUGAUAGGCUCUACGUGGAAGCCGGGUAACCGGUGAAGCGGAGGAGUACUAAUAGACCGAGGGCUUGACC